rnacentral:rRNA from 1 species
GACAGAGGAUGCAAGCGUUAUCCGGAAUGAUUGGGCGUAAAGCGUCCGCAGGUGGCGAUGUAAGUCUGCUGUUAAAGAGUGAGGCUCAACCUCAUAAGAGCAGUGGAAACUACAUAGCUAGAGUGCGGUAGGGGCAGAGGGAAUUCCUGGUGUAGCGGUGAAAUGCGUAGAGAUCAGGAAGAACACCGGUGGCGAAAGCGCUCUGCUAGGCCGCAACUGACACUGAGGGACGAAAGCUAGGGGAGCGAAUGGG